rnacentral:lncRNA from 1 species
GCUGUUGAGAGUUUAUUUUACAAAUGCACUAUUAAAAGAAACUUUGACUUAUUUUUUAAUGUAUUCCACACACAUUGGAAGGUGUGAAAGGCAUUGUAUGACAGUCACUCACUUGUUACAAUAUGGCACAUUUUUUAAUGGAAAUAUUCCUUAAAAUACCCGAUUACUUCUGUUUUGAUUCUCUGUUUCCAUCAGGCCUACUAUGUACUGUUGUCUAGUAGUUGACUGCAUAAGAGCGCCUUCCCUAAGAAAUGAAUGGGGCCCAAAAUCCUGUCUCUCUUCUUGUCAGAUGAAUGCUCUACCGUGGAACCAUCCUGUAGGAGGAAGAGUCUACAUUCCAAUCACAAAAGCCACAGUCAGCAUGUCGGAUCACACACCUUGCUUCCACAAGAAAUAAUGCUAUCCUGGGAAGAAAAUACUGGCAAAGAGAAUGAAAGAAGGGAACAACUCAGAGAAGAGAGCGUCUUAACCUGCUUAAACCUUUACUUAACCUGCAAUGGAAUAGCUAGAGUAAGAAGAGGGGGCUGACAGACUCAAGUGAGCAGCAAGCCCCUUGUGGCUGCACCAGUGUCCCCUAUGUCCCUCUGGGUGGCUCCGCCAGUGCUAGCCUGUCUGCUGCCGCCGCCCUUGUGGAAGCCUACAUGCCUGUGUACUUUUACCUGUGUUGUCAUGGGGCCCAGUGGCUUCUGCCCCUUGUUGCCCUCCAGUCUGCCAGAACCGAAUUGUGCUACAAGGGACUGUGGGAAAUCAAGUCUCAGGCUCUUCGGCUGUCUGCCUUAGGGAAAGCAGAGAAACAUCCCAGAGAGUGACAGUAGCACCAUCAGUACUGACAUGCGACUUCACUGUCGCCUGACUGC